rnacentral:tRNA from 1 species
UAGACAAAAAUUUUGGAAACGACUUCAAAAAACAUUCGGUCGUUUUUUCAAUCGUUCAUAAUACCC